rnacentral:rRNA from 1 species
UCUGAAUAAAUAUAGAAGGUCCAGCCUGCCCAGUGACAAAAUUAAACGGCCGCGGUACCCUAACCGUGCGAAGGUAGCGCAAUCACUUGUUCUUUAAAUGAGGACUAGUAUGAACGGCAUCACGAGGAUUAUUCUGUCUCCCCCCUUUAAUCAGUGAAACUGAUCUCCCCGUGAAGAAGCGGGGAUAAACCUAUAAGACGAGAAGACCCUAUGGAGCUUUAAACUUACACCACUUGUCUACACACAAUCCACAAUAAACAGACAAAACUAACGUGCUAGUUUUUGGUUGGGUGACCGCGGAGCAAAAUAAAACCUCCACAAUGAAAAGACUUCCAAUCUUUAUCUAAGAGCAACACCUCAAAGAAUUGGCAGACCAACACAACUGACCCAAACAUGCUUUGAUCAACGAAC